rnacentral:misc_RNA from 1 species
UUUCCGUAGGUGAACCUGCGGAAGGAUCAUUAUUGUAUAACCGAGGUGCGUGGGCUGUCGCUGACCCGAAAGGUCGUGCACGCCCGAGUGCCCUCACACACAUCCAUCUCACCCCUAUGUGCACCACCGCGUGGGUCCCCCUUUGGCUUGUUCGGAGGGGGGCUUACGUUUUCACACAAACUUUGUAUGCAGUGUAGAAUGUAUUUUUUGUUUUUGCGAUCACGCAAUCAAUACAACUUUCAACAACGGAUCUCUUGGCUCUCGCAUCGAUGAGAACGCAGC